rnacentral:rRNA from 1 species
GAACGAGAGAGGGGAGCAAUCCCUGAGUAAAGUGGCGUACGGGUGAGUAACACGUGGAUCAUCUACCUCUUUGUGGGGGAUAACCCUGGGAAACCGGGGCUAAUACCGCAUAAGCCUGUAAAGGGAAAGCAGCAAUGCGCAGAGAGAGGAGUCCGCGGCUGAUUAGCUAGUUGGUGAGGUAAUGGCCCACCAAGGCAAUGAUCGGUAGCCGGCCUGAGAGGGCACACGGCCACACUGGCACUGAAACACGGGCCAGACUCCUACGGGAGGCAGCAGUGGGGAAUCUUGCACAAUGGGGGCAACCCUGAUGCAGCGACGCCGCGUGAGCGAUGAAGCCCUUCGGGGUGUAAAGCUCUUUCGGCAGGAACGAUAAUGACGGUACCUGAAGAAGAAGCUGCGGCUAACUACGUGCCAGCAGCCGCGGUAAUACGUAGGCAGCGAGCGUUGUUCGGAGUUACUGGGCGUAAAGAGUGCGUAGGUGGUCCUGUAAGUUUGGUGUGAAAUCUCCCGGCUCAACUGGGAGGGUGCGCCGAAGACUGCAGGGCUUGAGUAUGGGAGAGGUAAGCGGAAUUCCUGGUGUAGCGGUGAAAUGCGUAGAUAUCAGGAGGAACACCUGUGGU